rnacentral:siRNA from 1 species
UCAAAACUGAGUAUGAGCCAGA